UGGGCGUGUGCCGCUCGCCGCUGCCGGGGCUCGCCGAGCCGCCGCUGGUGCACACUCACACUCGCCCUCCCACACGCAUACACACUCACACAUUGUCCGAGCGAGCCGCCGCCGCCGCCGCAGCCAGAGAGCGCCCCAGGGCUCGGGGCCAAUGCGGGCUGGGCGCUGCCAGCCGGGGGCUUCUCCACCACCCCGGUGGAAAGUUCACCUUCGCCUGGGCCCGGCGCACCAUUGAUCCAGAGCGGCCGCCGCCGGGGAGGGAGGCAGGAGCUGCGGCUCUGGCCGGGAGGGGGGAUUUUUUUUUUUUUUGGCCUUUUCCCUCCAAACUUCGUGUGCGCGCCUCCCACAGAAGCCCCCCCCCAUCUUCGCUGAGGAUUUGCCUCUCUGCCGCGCAAGGAUAAGCCGCCCGGGCGGGUGUGAGCGCUGGGGGAAUUGAGCCAUCCCCGACAACGAGGGGACCACCACUUUCUACAGGGCCAGAGUGGCCAUCAACAGGGUGGUUUUUAAUGGACCAGUAAGGAAAGGUGUCUGUCCAACUGGUUUCUGGAAUUUGGAAGGUGCCUAGGAGGAGACUGCAAGUGAGAGCAGCAGAGGUGCUGGCACCUGGUGAACACAGAAGUUGGCACAGAGCACACCAGUGCCUGGUGGUGGUGGUGCUGCUGGAGACCCUGAGCUGGGGUCAGUGGGAAGAUGACCGAGUAUAAGCUGGUGGUGGUUGGAGCAGGUGGCGUUGGGAAGAGCGCUUUGACAAUACAGCUCAUUCAGAACCAUUUUGUUGAUGAAUAUGACCCCACAAUAGAGGAUUCCUACAGAAAGCAGGUAGUCAUUGACGGAGAGACCUGUCUGUUAGACAUCUUGGACACGGCGGGUCAAGAGGAGUACAGCGCCAUGCGAGACCAGUACAUGCGGACGGGGGAGGGCUUCCUGUGCGUCUUUGCCAUUAACAAUACAAAAUCCUUUGAAGACAUUCACCAGUACAGAGAGCAGAUCAAGAGAGUGAAGGAUUCAGAUGAUGUCCCCAUGGUACUGGUGGGAAACAAGUGUGACCUUCCGGCCCGGACUGUGGAAACCCGGCAAGCACAGGACCUGGCCAGGAAUUACGGAAUCCCCUACAUAGAGACAUCAGCGAAAACCAGACAGGGUGUUGAAGAUGCCUUCUAUACCUUAGUGCGGGAGAUCCGGCAGCACAAACUACGCAAGCUGAAUCCACCGGAUGAAAGUGGCCCAGGCUGCAUGAACUGUAAAUGUGUGAUAUCAUGACCAAGGGCUGGGGUUGAAGUGUGCUAGUCAGGGAAGCUUGCACUGCUGCUGCCCCGAUGAGCCUUUUCCCUGGAUAACAGAGGACACCAGGCGCCAGAGCUGUUCUUCCAUCUCCUUUAACAGUUGACCAGACCGUGACUUGGAGGGGUUUCCACUGUGCAGUGCACGCGGACAGAGGUGAAACAAAAGAAGCAGCAAAUGGAUUCAGGGGAGGAGUAUGGGGGAGGAGGGAGACAAAGAGGGUACCUUGAGCCCCACACGGACUGUCUCAAACUUCAUCAAGGCCUGUGACAAGCAACUUUUCUUUCCCCUCCCCAUCUCCUUUUGCCUCCUCCUCUCCCAGCAACUGUACAAAGCCACAGAUUGAAUCACAGUAAAUUAUUAUUUGAUGGUCUCAA